rnacentral:tRNA from 1 species
GUCGGGGUAGCGCAGUCGGUAGAGCACCGGACUCAUAAUCCGGAGGUCGCGGGUUCAAGUCCCGCCCCCGCA